rnacentral:rRNA from 1 species
GACGGAAGGUGCAAGCGUUGCUCGGAAUCACUGGGCGUAAAGGGUGCGUAGGCGGCCGUGCAAGUCUGGCGUGAAAGCCCCGGGCUCAGCCCGGGAAGUGCGCUCGAAACUGCGCGGCUCGAGUGCCGGAGGGGAGAGUGGAAUUCCUGGUGUAGCGGUGAAAUGCGUAGAUAUUCGGAAGAACACCAGUGGCGAAGGCGACUUACUGGACACAUAUUGACGCUGAGGUGCGAAAGCGUGGGGAGCAAACAGG